GGUAGAGUUUCGUGCCGCUACUUAUAACAGAACAGAUUAUUUCAAUUACGAAAUUGCGUGGUCUUAUCCAUCUCAGCAUCAGCAGAAAUUUAAUUUUAUUUCUUUCAGUACACAAAGCCACUAUGAUACAUAUUAUUUCAUGAUUUAAUGUUGAAUCUUAAAACUUUAUCAACAUAUUGACAUGCAUAUUUUAUCUUAUUUUUCAGAUGACAGCCUUCAUUCAUUUCCAAACCCUAAAAGAUUUCGUCAGCAAUUGAAUUCUUGGGUUAAUCUUGCUGGUGAUUUUGGAUUGACCAAUGAAGAGAUAUUCAAAAACAAAAAAGUUUGUGAUGUUCAUUUAAAGAACAUCACAAACCUCACAGAGAUCAUAAUCGUAAUAAGCGAUUAAAUGCUUUAGCCAUUCCAUCUCUUCAUUUGAAUGGCUUUCAUUGAAAACUUCCUUACCCUAGUGAAAUGGUCAGUCAGGAAAUGGAACUGAACACCCAAUUAGACGCAGGUUGUUCUGGACUGGACUAUUUUAACACUUGAACAUAUACCAGGACAAAGCUACCACCAGGUGCACAAUUGAAGAUAUCAAUAUUAAGUUAGCCAUAUCAGUUGCCUGUGGUUCAGCAUCUACUUCUGCUGUACCACUCAACAGAAUGUUAAGCACAACAUAAAAAGAUCAUCAAAAAGGCAUUUAGAAUAUGCUGCUAUACUGCUGGGCCAUGGUUAUUGCAAGAAAAGAUCUUCAAAAGCUUCAGAAAGAACGUCGCCGUCCAAAUUGACAGUCAAUAACCACGUACGUAAUAAGCACUUACCAAAAACAAAUUUGUAACUUGAAAAGAGAAAUCUACAGGCGAAAAAGUGGCGCGGCUUGCAAAAGCCGAAAAAAUUGGAUGCCAACACUACUUUUGAAAAAGUAGUUAAAGGUAUGAACACAAGC